UGACGACCGGCGCACGGGUGCGUAACGCGUAUAGAACCUACCUUUUACAGGGAGAUAGCCCGGAGAAAUCCGGAUUAAUAUCCCAUAGUAAUGUUUUACGGCAUCGUAAAACGUUUAAAGUUACGGCGGUAAAAGAUGGCUAUGCGUCUUAUUAGCUAGUAGGUAAGGUAACGGCUUACCUAGGCAACGAUAAGUAGGGGCCCUGAGAGGGGGAUCCCCCACACUGGUACUGAGACACGGACCAGACUCCUACGGGAGGCAGCAGUGAGGAAUAUUGGACAAUGGGCGCAAGCCUGAUCCAGCCAUGCCGCGUGCAGGAAGACAGCCCUACGGGUUGUAAACUGCUUUUAUACAGGAAGAAUAAGGGGUACGUGUACCCUGGUGACGGUACUGUAAGAAUAAGGACCGGCUAACUCCGUGCCAGCAGCCGCGGUAAUACGGAGGGUCCGAGCGUUAUCCGGAAUCAUUGGGUUUAAAGGGUCCGCAGGCGGGCAAUUAAGUCAGGGGUGAAAUGCUGCAGCUCAACUGUAGCACUGCCCUUGAUACUGGUUGUCUUGAGUUAUAGUGGAGUGGCUGGAAUAUGUAGUGUAGCGGUGAAAUGCAUAGAUAUUACAUAGAACACCAAUCGCGAAGGCAGGUCACUAACUAUUAACUGACGCUGAUGGACGAAAGCGUGGGGAGCGAACGGGAUUAGAUACCCCGGUAGUCCACGCCGUAA
rnacentral:rRNA from 1 species